GGCAGGAGCAGCAUGGCGGCCUGGGCAGGUCCCUUGGGGUGGGCACAGGGCAACAGAUGGGCAGCAGCUGCCUCUGGGGAGGGGACUGGCCCAGGGCACUGCUCCUCACCUCUGCAGAAAGCACUGGCCAGUCCAGGGGCUUGUUCUUACAUAGAAUCAUUAAGGUUGCAAAUUAGGUGUGAGCCCUAAAUGCAUUUUCUUUUUCUGCUUAAAUGUCGUGAGCCUGGAUGGUUGUGUCUUACUGCAUUAAGGUACGUGUCUCAAUGAUGUCGGCUCUGAACUGUCAGCUCAGGCAGCUGGGCUCAGUGGUGUUGUGGGGCCCUUCCCAUUGAACUGGUGAUUCUGUAGUAAGUUAAUUGCAGGUCUUCUGCUCCUGAAUGCCUUUGCUCAUAAAGCAAGAAAUGCCAUCAAAGUCUUAACUUUCAUCGGGAGAGAAGGUACCUUAUUUCCUCCUGCAAAUUAAAGAAUAAGACCAUUUUAUAUGAGAGUGUUCUGAAAGCAAAAAGGAAAAAAAUCCUAACUGUUCAGAACUUUUGGAUCUGGUGAUAGUGCAGCUGACUCCCAUGCAGAAUAACUGCAUUGUGGUUACCAGACCGUCCAGCUCAAGUCACUUUGUGUAACUGUCCUAUUGCUUUUGUAGGUGUUUUCACAACAGUGGAAAACCGCAUUGUGUAAAGGAACAGUAAGCCAUGUGGGUAAAUGCGAACAGCAGUUUAAACGUGCAGGAAAGGAGCAUUUCCUUGUCUGCCCUGGUAAAUGGUUCUCCUACAGCCCCACGUGACGUGUCCUGUCUGCCAGCCAAGGAGGGCUGGCUGUGACAGCUUCAUGGCCCCUCAGCUCUGCUCCUCACAAUGAGCGUGAGCCCUGACAAGUCUGGAGGUCCAGCGGUGUC